rnacentral:rRNA from 1 species
UACGUAGGGACCGAGCGUUGUCCGGAUUCAUUGGGCGUAAAGAGCUCGUAGGCGGCUGUUCAAGUCGAACGUGAAAACUCGGAGCUCAACUCCGAGCCUGCGUUCGAUACUGGACGGCUAGAGUCUGGUAGGGGGAUCUGGAAUUCCUGGUGUAGCGGUGAAAUGCGCAGAUAUCAGGAGGAACACCGGUGGCGAAGGCGGGGUCUCUGGGCCGAUACUGACGCUGAGGAGCGAAAGCGUGGGGAGCGAACAGG